CAACGUUCCCAAAGCAGCGGCGACCAGCGACCAGCAACCGCCCCGGUGAGACAAGGCAAGCAGCUUGGGGUUCCUGCGGCCUUCCCUGGCUAUGUCCAUGGCACGGUGUAAAGAAGCUGGUUUGAAGUUUGUCUAACACUCCACAGACUGCAUUGUUUAAAGGCAGCAAUAUGUCUCCACGUGAAGACAAGUAGCCACGAUAUUGUAGUACAGUCCAAUGAGUACAGACACCAUCCAGGAUAGACACCCAAGAAGACACAAACCUGUAUCAUGAUACCUGUCUACUAGACCUCCAAGAUGAGUGGUUGGAUAGGAGCAGUGACCACCUUAUCAUCAUUGGCCCAGAGAAAUAGAUCCUGCCCUAGACUCUAUGACAUCAAGUUCUAGGAGUACUAGAAGGCUCCAAGGUAGACAGAGCCUCCUUUAAGGCACCAGCCCUCCAGGAGCCAAUACAGCAAGGAACCAACAUGGAGAACAAGUGAGGCACAUUCACUGGUUAGCAUUAUAAAAUGGAAAAGAAGUACUACU
rnacentral:lncRNA from 1 species